rnacentral:rRNA from 1 species
UACGGAGGGAGCUAGCGUUGUUCGGAAUUACUGGGCGUAAAGCGCACGUAGGCGGCUAUUCAAGUCGGGGGUGAAAGCCCGGGGCUCAACCCCGGAACUGCCCUCGAAACUAGAUAGCUAGAAUCUUGGAGAGGCGAGUGGAAUUCCGAGUGUAGAGGUGAAAUUCGUAGAUAUUGGGAAGAACACCAGUGGCGAAGGCGGCUCACUGGCCCGUAACUGACGCUGAGGUGCGAAAGCGUGGGGAGCAAACAGG